GGAGCCUUUUCCCCACACCACGUUUUGUUCCAGAAAUUACCAUUGCAUUUGGCACCGGCAGAAAGACAAGAAUCCAGGGAGUCACAGAGACAUUCUUAGCCCUGAAGUCUCUUAGGGAUGAGGGCUGAGGAACUCAAACAAGGUAAGGAGUCUGGCCAUUAAUCACU
rnacentral:lncRNA from 1 species